UACUCUUAUUUUUUUCAAAUAAUAGCUAAUACUGUAUUGGCCUGCACUGUUUUGUUUUUUUUGUUUUCUUUUUUUUAUCUGCGGUCGUUGGCCGGUCUUUCCGAUGUUUGGCAGCCUUCCCGGCGGGCCGUCUCACGCUCGGCGCGACCUCAUUCUGGAAGUCGGCCCAAAUCCUGUUUGAGUUCUGGCCGAAGCCCAAGUUCUUCGAGAUGAUGGAAUUGGGCUCUGGCCUUGCGAGCGGAGCAGUUGCGCCUCGUAGAUUGCGGCGAAGUCCUUCAAUCUCUGUUGCCGGGAAAAAGAAAAAAAAACCCCAACCCUACCCGAUGAGAAACCGGUUAAUCUCAGACGGCCAAUCCCCAUGCCCCCUCCAUCCAAGUUUCCGGCGACCCACCGCCUGGACCCUCCUCGACGCCCUAUAUUGACCUUCCAGAAAAGGAAGGUGGGCGGCGGCCGGCGGCCGUAUUUCGAUGCGGAGGGUGGGCUAGUGGAGUUGCAACUGGAGGAGGACCUGCCCCACCUGUUCGACGAGCAAGAAAUCGACCGGUCGAUGUACGGCGAGCGCCUCUGGUUCCGGGAUCCCAUCGCCAAGCACGACACCAUCGACGGCUAUCUCUUCAACAUUCGCCUCCUCGAGCUCCUCUUCAGGCGCGACUUCUACGUCCAUCACGUGAGGCAGGAAUUGAUGAGAUCACAACAAGAUGGACUGUGGUGAUGAGAUUUGUUCUUCUACCAUGGAAACCAGAGUUGGUCUUCCCAGGAAUCUCGAUCAUGGGUGGCAAUCCCCAGAACCAGAAGUUCUGUAGCCAUGCGAUUAGCCUUAUUUAUAGCUGUAAUUAAAUACCGUCAUUAUUCAGAACUGAAAUGAUAUCUUCCAAAAUCGCAUAGAAUCUUUUUCUUUAUAUUUAGUGUUUACUUUUAUUUUCCGCCUAUAGAAUGUUUGGGAUUUCAUAAUGAAAAUUAUUUUUCAUUUGAAGGUCUGUGGGAUGUUUUAGAACAGGCAUUAGCCUAUUUAUUAUAAAUUUGUCGUCCCAAUUCGUCGACCUUGUUUGAAGCAUAUGAAUAUGGUCUUUCAAUUCUUAUGCAUAAUAGCUGCGGUUCUACAAGGCUUGGAAACACCGAAGUACCAGAUACUGAAAAGAACUGCUACUUAUGAGGUGUGGAUGUUUUCUCAGUGAAUAUGCUACACAUAGUUCAUUGUAAAUUGUAUCAUUGGUUAAACAUGCUACUAGCAUUCUUCGUGUACCAUGUCUCUGGAGCAGAACCACAUUAUUUCAACCCUUUAAUUUGUGAAAUGUUAUUCAUGUUAUAUUUUUAUACACCUUAAUUUGUGAACAUAAUUCAUGUUGUUUGUUUGUAUCAAUUUCAAACUUCCAGAAGUUAUUUUGAAUAUCAUUGUUAUUAGAAACUAUUGAGACCUUUAGCUCCUUUCUUCAACAUCUAUGUCCAACUCAUCUGAUAUGAGGAGGGGUUUCGGCUCCGGUCCCCUGUUUCAUUCAAAACAUGGAACCCGGAGGGGGGGCUUUUUUAAAAUUUGCAAUUUUUAAGGAAGUCGGCAAAUGGACCGUAGGUAGUGCCUUUCCUUCGCGGCCCUCCGCGUGCUCAUCGGCCUCUACCGCCCUCUUUCUGUCUCCCUCCCUCUCUCCCCCUUCUUUCUCUCUCAUUUUCUCUCUUCCAUUCUCCCUCUUCCCUGCCUCCUUUACUGUCUCGGUACGGGCCCGACAGAACGGUUCCGGGGCGUACCGACCCGUGCCACCGGGCAACCGGUUUGGGUUCCGGUUCCGGCACAGCAAACCAUGCCUAUGACUAUCCCUAUCUUUACUCAGGCUCGUGAUGACAAAUUAUCAUAAGUAUCCAUCCAGAUUGUUCUACCAAUGGACAUAGAGUGUAGCAAGUAAGAAAUUCGCAACACAAUCACUAACAUUUCUUGAACUUGAAAACCGCCAUGUUUAUUUUGCAAAGUGAUGGAGAAAUUCUGAACUGUGUUUGGAACAAGAAGACGUUUUACAUAGAGAUGUCUUGUUUACUGGAUCUAAAGAGAUGCAUAAUGUGAUCUGGUAACGUGAAGAUGCUUCAAAUCAAGAAAACUUGUCUGUGAACUUUAAAUCAUUGGUCUUAAGAAACUAAGAAAUGGUUUGAAGAAUUUGUGCUCCUUUAGGAAUUUUCUUAUUUGAUAAUAAUUUUGAUUCAAUCAGUUUACCAGCCCCUGGCGUGGAAGCAGUUAGCUUGCGAAAGCUAGAAGGAGGCAUAGCGGCAGCAACAAAAUUUAGUGGAGGAACUUGUCCACAAAAAGGAGAAAGAACUGCAGUGUGCUCUACUCAAAGAUGGUUUUAAACCUCAACAAGGUUACUUGCUUGCCGGUUAUAAUGAUCAUGGGCAGACAUGGAGCUUUAUAAUGGUAUGAUUUCUCUUUUCACCAGUAAAAUACUUAUCAUGCCUUGAAUAAAAACUAAAUUGGACUCUGCAGGGGUUUGUAGAUAUAUGAUCUGUUUUACGACCAAAGAGUACUAUUUCAAAUAUCACCUUUCUGGAAUGCUGAAUUUGCUUCUGCUACUCCACAGACCUUUUUUCGUUACCCUCUCUAUCUGGUGUAUGAUGUGUACCAAAAGUUGUAUAUUUGGUAUUUUGUACAUGUAUCCGGGUGUUUGUGAUGCAUGUUGUUUAUUCUGCAGAUUGCAAAAUUUUCCUGGAAGGAGAAGUUUACAUUCUUUGGAUGCUCAGAUCUAUAAACAUCCAACUCUUUAUGUCAACUUUUUUUUUUUUUUUGGGAAAAUUCUAGUGCUGUGAUUGUAGUUCCAUGCUUCAGCAUAGGGUUAGAGAUUAGCAUUUGUUGUCAAUUUUGUUUUUUGUAUUUUGUGCUUUUCACUCAGCCCAUCCUCUUAACAUUUGUCGUUUUUCUUUUGUUGAAAAUGCUCUCUUCUUUUCCUCAAAUAAAAAAGAAAAAAAGAAAAUGCUGUCUCUUCUUCUUCACGGCUCCAAAGAGGAAGAAGAUGCUGAUAUGGCUUUGUGAGUGCACUCUAGAAUAGUUUAUAAAUAUGUUGCAGACUGAUGGAUGGAAGAUAUAUGCUCCAAGCUAAGGGUCAUCCUUGUUGUAAGUGAAUAAGCUACCCCAAGAACUGUGAAUUUUGGAUCAAUGCUUACAACCACUUUCAAUGGAAAAACUUCAUUCUUCUUAAGCCAUGGUUUGUUGUUAGCUGUACAGGGUACCAAAAGAUGGAAGCAGCAGUUAGGAACCAUGUAACCUCUUGAUUUGCAUCCAUCUUGUAAGUGUGACAAUCAUGUUUUAUCCUAACCCUGUUUUAGGUCAGAAAAGUGCCACCUAAAGUAGGAUGCACAGUGAUGGUUGCCAACAAAUUGAUCUCUUGCAAGUUGAGCUAACUGGCUGAUAAAUAACUUUAUCUGCCUAUCCUUGAGCCACCUAUCCAUGAGUUUUAUGAGUAUAAACAUUCCCCAUUAUUUCAUGAUAUUGUGAGCUGGGAGUCUACUCUUCAAACUUUCAAAGUCUUAGAUAUUUGCUGGGAAGGAAAUCUCAUGCGGCUGAUUGGGCAGACGCUAAAUCAUUUGAAGGUGAUUAUUUACUUCAGAAAGUUGAGUUGCUGCAUCCAGAUUUUGCUGGGAUUUUGGCUGCUGAUACAGCUGCUACGACCUUCAUCAGGCCUGCUUAACGGGUUGCUGUCACAAUUGAAGUGCAGGUACUAUUGUGGCCUUUAACUUCUAUCUUCUUCUAUCUAUUGUAUGUGUUCUUUAGUCGCAGGCUGUUGUCGUGCAUCCUUCUGUUGGAUGUACCAAAAAAAAGCCCAAAGUAGAUGUGAUGUGGCCAUCCAUUGUUCUUGCUGGGUGGAUCACAAGUGCUUAACACAAUUGUCAUGCUUUAAACAUAACAUGUGGAUCUCUGGUGCUACCAUGGCUUUAAACAUGAGGAUCUCUGGUGUCAUUAGCUGUACAGGGAGUGCUGGGAACCGUUGCUGCGGGCUUUAGGCUCCAAAACUAAAUGGUGGAUGGAGUCGAACGAAGCAUUGGUGAAGAGGGAUGGUAAAGGGAAGGUGGUGUUUGAGAGUGUGAAUGAAGGGGAGGAAUGAGAUGAGAGAAGAAAGCGGGCUGACAAAUUAAGGAAGAAAGCACAAAGAGGCUAUGGAAGUCGAAUGGGCGAGAGUAGUACUAGGAUGGUUACUCCGUGGGAAGUCCAAACCUUCUUGCCUGUAGCCUUUUGGCAGCACUCAAUGUACAAAGCCUCCAAGUCAUCAAAACUGGUUACUUGCCACCACUCCGCCUGAUCUCGACUCCCGCAUCUUCUGCUCUGGAAAUUUCAACAGGUCUGAUCCACCAAAGUUCCUAGUAAUUGGUCCUUACUUAUUUCAAGCCAAUGGGGAAAUUCAGGCAUGACAGAGCUCUUUCAUGCCAUCGGUUAUGGUCUCGAUUGAUUCGAGAAGCAUUGAGGGGUGUGGUAGGAAGCUAACAACAGCAUCAUGGUUUGCCAAGGGACACGCCAUGCCUAUCAUAGGGAUUAUGUGGCCUUGGGCCAUUAGCGGAAGGAGGUAUUGGACCCUUCGUGUCGUUAUUGGGUGCUUGAAUGGUCGAGUGGAGAUGGGAUUGGCUGUUUGAUUCCUAGUGAAAUCUCUGCUGCAGGCACUUGCGCCUAGUGAAAUCUCUGCUGCAGGCACUUGCGGAUGGUUACAGGUGUUUGGAAAAAUUUAGAAUUGGAAUUCGACUCAGUGGUUCCUGGUUUGAUUCAGAAGCGCCAUGUUCUAUGUUGUGUUUCUUUCGAAAAAUGGACUGCAAGCAAAAUAGAGGAGUGCUGCUCGGCUCAAUGCAAAAAAGUAAAGGGUGCUCCUCUAUUUCAGCUUGGAGAAUGGGAUUUUAAUGGAAGGUACAAGUUUUGUUGGCCAGCUGAAAUCCAAAUUCAAAGCUGAUGGCAAGUGUUCUGUUUAAAAUUGGUUUCUUCUCAACUUGCUGUCUCGAUGUUUUCUGGAUUAGCCUGCUUUCACCAUAGCUGGGUGCUGAGAUUUUGUUCUCUUCUCUUCAAUUUUGUUGUCUCAUCAUACUUUGUAUUUGUAUCACAUUGUAAAUAGUUACAAUUCACUUGCAUAAAAGCUA